CCUCAUUAACACCUUCUUUUCUCUUACGCCCUCUCACUAUCGCCCUCUCUCCCUCUCUUAGCCUUGCUCACCCAUCGCCUCAUCAGACAACAUUCUCUUGAUAAAACCACCUACAGUUCAUCGAGGUUCAUUGAAGGUAAGCAUGCAUGGAAGUUACACCAAAGGGAUACGCAUGAGUGGUCGAGGUGAAGUGGCAGGAAAGCAUCACGUCAGUUUUGGAAGCGGCGGUCACGUUAGAGAAGAUAGGAGUUUCCUCUUACCUAUGUGAAAACUUGUAAUAUGGUGUAAAAAGGAAAAAAUGGCCCGUAGAAAUAGGGCUUGUAAAUGAACUAUUGUAAUAUAAAGUAACGUGUCAUGUGUGAUGUAUAUCCUAGUCUUCCAACCGUUAUUUGUU